rnacentral:rRNA from 1 species
AACGCGAAGAACCUUACCUGGGUUUGACAUCUCCGGACCGACGUAGAGAUACGUAAUUUGUAGCAAUACAACCGGAAGACAGGUGCUGCAUGGCUGUCGUCAGCUCGUGUGGUGACAUGUUGGGUUAAGUCCCGCAACGAGCGCAACCCUUGUCUUUAGUUGCCAGCAUUCAGUUGGGCACUCUAAAGAGACUGCCGUGGUUAACACGGAGGAAGGUGGGGAUGACGUCAAGUCCUCAUGGCCUUUAUAUCCAGGGCGACACACGUGAUACAAUGGUCGGUACAGAGGGACGCGAAAUGGAGACAUGGAGCUAAUCCCAAAAAGCCGAUCUCAGUUCGGAUUGGAGUCUGCAACUCGACUCCAUGAAGUUGGAAUCGCUAGUAAUCGCGGAUCAGCACGCCGCGGUGAAUACGUUCCCGGGCCUUGUACACACCGGUACUA